UGGGGGAUAUUGCACAAUGGAGGAAACUCUGAUGCAGCAAUGCCGCGUGAGGGAAGAAGAUUUUCGGAUUGUAAACCUCUGUCCCAGCCGAAGAAACGAAUGACGGUAGGCUGGGAGGAAGCUCCGGCUAACUACGUGCCAGCAGCCGCGGUAAUACGUAGGGAGCAAGCGUUAUCCGGAAUUACUGGGUGUAAAGGGUGCGUAGGCGGCUAGGCAAGUCAGGCGUGAAAUGUACAGGCUUAACCUGUGAACUGCGUUUGAAACUGCAUAGCUUGAGUAGAGUAGAGGCAGGCGGAAUUUCCGGUGUAGCGGUGAAAUGCGUAGAGAUCGGAAGGAACACCAGUGGCGAAGGCGGCCUGCUGGGCUCAAACUGACGCUGAGGCACGAAAGCAUGGGGAGCAAACAGG
rnacentral:rRNA from 1 species